UACGUAGGUGGCAAGCGUUAUCCGGAAUUACUGGGCGUAAAGCGCACGUAGGCGGUCUUUUAAGUUUGACGUGAAAGCUCCCGGCUUAACUGGGAGAGGUCGUUGAAUACUGGAAGACUUGAGGCAAUGAGAGGGGUGUAGAAUUCCCGGUGUAGUGGUGGAAUGCGUAGAUAUCGGGGGGAAUACCAGUGGCGAAAGCGGCACCCUAGCGUUAGCCUGACGCUCAUGUGCGAAAGCGUGGGGAGCGAACGGG
rnacentral:rRNA from 1 species